AUUGAACGCUGGCGGCAGGCUUAACACAUGCAAGUCGAGCGGAGUGAUGGUGCUUGCACUAUCACUUAGCGGCGGACGGGUGAGUAAUGCUUAGGAAUCUGCCUAUUAGUGGGGGACAACAUCUCGAAAGGGAUGCUAAUACCGCAUACGUCCUACGGGAGAAAGCAGGGGAUCACUUGUGACCUUGCGUUAAUAGAUGAGCCUAAGGCGGAUUAGCUAGUUGGUGGGGUGAAGGCCUACCAAGGCGACGAUCUGUAGCGGGUCUGAGAGGAUGAUCCGCCACACUGGGACUGAGACACGGCCCAGACUCCUACGGGAGGCAGCAGUGGGGAAUAUUGGACAAUGGGGGGAACCCUGAUCCAGCCAUGCCGCGUGUGUGAAGAAGGCCUUAUGGUUGUAAAGCACUUUAAGCGAGGAGGAGGCUCUUUUGGUUAAUACCCAAGAUGAGUGGACGUUACUCGCAGAAUAAGCACCGGCUAACUCUGUGCCAGCAGCCGCCGCAG
rnacentral:rRNA from 1 species